UACAGAGGGAGCGAGCGUUGUUCGGAAUUACUGGGCGUAAAGGGCGCGUAGGCGGUCCGAUAAGUCCCGUGUGAAAUCCCUCGGCUCAACUGAGGAAUGGCACGGGAAACUGACGGGCUUGAGUUCGGGAGAGGGAUGCGGAAUUCCAGGUGUAGCGGUGAAAUGCGUAGAUAUCUGGAGGAACACCGGUGGCGAAGGCGGCAUCCUGGACCAAUUCUGACACUGAGGAGCGAAAGCCAGGGGAGCAAACGGG
rnacentral:rRNA from 1 species